CGCCGGGAACCCGACCGCGCAGGGCCGGCACUGGCUGCUUGGAGGCCGCUUCCUCGGGUUUCCCACGCUGUCCUUUCCUAGCUGACCCUCCCAGGGAGGCUUUCCUUUCCUGUGAGGCUGGCAGAGGAGUGGCACAGAGGACUUUUCAUACAAGCUCAGAGGGGGUCUAUAAAACCAUCAUGGAGCCGGAGGAUCAACAGUGUGAUGGCAGCACACAGCCCCAGUGAGCCAGUCUUCUUGUCCCCCAGAGGCCCGUAGCUUGACUGGCUGGUUAUAAAAGUCACAUGGAAAGCCCAGAAGAGGCAACACAACCAUGAAAAAGAUCGAAGGUGGAAGACAAGUAUUUCCCAGCUUCAAAACCUACAGUAAUCUUCCUACGGAGACCAGCAAAGAAUUGAUGGUAUAGGAAUAAACCACAUAUUACGGUCAACUCCAGACAAGGCACCAAAGGAAACUUGAUAGGAGAGAAAGAACUAUGUUCGUUGUUGUUUGGCUUUGGUGCUGGGGUUUGAACCUCAUGUGUGCUGAGUAAGCACCCUACUACUGAGCUACAUCCUUGUCCCUCGGUUUUCACAUUUUAUUUGGACAUGGGGCCUUACUAAAUUAUCGGUGCUGACUUUGAACUCAUUCUGUAGCUUGGGUUGGCCUUGAACUUGCAGUGCUCCAGCCUCAGCCUCCCAAUUAGCUGGGAUUACAGGACUUGUAGCAUAGGCCCAGCUAAAAAUACCCUAUUCAAAAAAUGGUGCUGGGCCAGCCAAGUAUCUAUGUGCAAAAGAGUGAAGUUGACUCUCUUCAGCACCGUACUCCUCCCACCUCAUCCAGGUGGAUACAGUGUAUGUGUAUGGAGAUGUCACAGUGAAACUCAUUGUUUUGUACUCUAAUUUAAAAAUUCAUAAAAUACCAAGUCAAGAUGAAUCACUGACCUAAAUGUAAUAAUUAAAACUACAUUUCUUUUUUUUUUCUAUUUUUUUUUAAUACAGUGUCUUACUGUGUAGCCUAGCUGAUUUGGAACUGUUAUAUAGAACAGAUUGGCUCUGAACUUAUGGCGAUCCUCCUGCCUCUGCCUUCUGACUGCUAAGAUUAUGGUGUAUGCUAUAAUACUUGGCAAAAAAAGAAAACCCUUAAAAUUCUUCUGGAAUGGAGAUAUAGCUCAGUGGUAGACCACGUGUCUAGGAUGUGGGAAGGCCUGUGCUCAAUCCACACGCAGAUAAAUAAAUAUCUCCCUAGAGGGAACAGAGGUGCAAGGGAAUCUAAGCUAUAUCACCAAAACAAAAGUGUCAAAAUUAACACUAAUUGUUUUAAAAGAUUUAUUUAUUUAUUUUAUGUAUGUGAGUACACUGUCACUGUCUUCAGACACACCAGAGGAGGGCAUUGAAUCCCAUUACAGAUGGUUGUGAGCCACCAUGUGGUUGCUGGGAACUGAAUUCAGGACUUCUGGAAGAACAGUCAGUGCUCUUAACCACUGAGCCAUCUCUCUAGCCUGACCAAUUGGGUUUUAAAUGUAAAAGCUUUUCUGUUUCACGGGCCAGUGAGACAGCUCAGUUGACCUCACUUCAGUCUUCAGAACCCAGAGUGGACAAAGAAACCUGAUUCCCAAAAGUUGUCCUCUGGUCUCCAUAUGUGCACCAUGGUGUACUCCACAUGUAUACUUAAUAAUAAUAAUAAUAAUAAUAAUAAUAAUAAUAAUAAUAAUAAUAAUAAUAAUAAUGUUUGUGUUUCAAAGGACACCAUCAAGAAAAUAAAAGGGCAGGCUGAUAUCCAUGGGAGGACUCCCCUUUUCUGAGGAGAAAGGGAGCACUGACUGGAGGAUGAGGGGUGGGAGAUGGGAGAAAGGAACUGGGAGGAGAGGAGGGAGGGGAAGAUGCAAUCGAGAUAUAAAAUAAGUAAAAAAAAUACAACACAAAAA
rnacentral:lncRNA from 1 species